UACGGAGGAUGCGAGCGUUAUCCGGAUUUAUUGGGUUUAAAGGGUGCGUAGGCGGACGGUCAAGUCAGCGGUAAAAAUGCGGUGCUCAACGCCGUACAGCCGUUGAAACUGGCAGUCUUGAGAUGUCGAGAGGUAUGCGGAAUGCGCAGUGUAGCGGUGAAAUGCUUAGAUAUUGCGCAGAACUCCGACUGCGAAGGCAGCAUACCGGCGCCCGACUGACGCUGAGGCACGAAAGUGCGGGUAUCGAACAGG
rnacentral:rRNA from 1 species